CCUACGGGCGGCUGCAGUGAGGAAUAUUGGUCAAUGGUCGGGAGACUGAACCAGCCAAGCCGCGUGAGGGAGGAAGGUACAGAGUAUCGUAAACCUCUUUUGUCAGGGAACAAAGGCGGGGACGUGUCCCCGGAGGAGUGUACCUGAAGACAAAGCAUCGGCUAACGCCGUGCCAGCAGCCGCGGUAAUACGGAGGAUGCGGGCGUUAUCCGGAUUUAUUGGGUUUAAAGGGUGCGCAGGCGGUCGGCUAAGUCAGCGGGAAAAUUGCGGGGCUCAACCCCGUCGAGCCGUUGAAACUGGCAUACUGGAGUGCCGGAGAGGUAAGUGGAAUUCCUAGUGUAGCGGUGAAAUGCGUAGAUAUUAGGAGGAACACCAGUGGCGAAGGCGGCUUACUGGACGGUAACUGACGCUGAGGCUCGAAAGCGUGGGGAGCAAACAGGAUUAGAUACCCCAGUAGUC
rnacentral:rRNA from 1 species